UCUCCAGUGGCGCAGUUGGUUAGCGCAUGGUACUUAUAUGACAGUAGCUUAGCGUUGAUAUCAUGAAACACAAAAGUAAUGCCGAGGUCGCGAGUUCGAUCCUCGCCUGGAGAA
rnacentral:tRNA from 1 species